GACGAACGCUGGCGGCGUGCCUAAUACAUGCAAGUAGAACGCUGAAGAGAGGAGCUUGCUCUUCUUGGAUGAGUUGCGAACGGGUGAGUAACGCGUAAGUAACCUGCCUGGUAGCGGGGGAUAACUAUUGGAAACGAUAGCUAAUACCGCAUGAUAUUAAUUAUUGCAUGAUAAUUGAUUGAAAGAUGCAAUUGCAUGACUACCAGAUGGACCUGCGUUGUAUUAGCUAGUUGGUGAGGUAACGGCUCACCAAGGCGACGAUACAUAGCCGACCUGGGAGGGUGAUCGGCCACACUGGGACUGAGACACGGCCCAGACUCCUACGGGAGGCAGCAGUAGGGAAUCGUCGGCAAUGGGGGGAACCCUGACCGAGCAACGCCGCGUGAGUGAAGAAGGUUUUCGGAUCGUAAAGCUCUGUUGUAAGAGAAGAACGGGUGUGAGAGUGGAAAGUUCACACUGUGACGGUAUCUUACCAGAAAGGGACGGCUAACUACGUGCCAGCCGCCGCCGUAA
rnacentral:rRNA from 1 species